UAAGGGGGGAGGGGCACGAAAUUUACCGAAGUCAGCUGUAACUGCUGUUCAUAGUCGACUCGACGAGUGGAGGGGAAAUUCAGAGGGCACCCUCUACAAGGCUGACAAACUGCAGUUUCAGCCACAAUGGUAAUUCUGGUCGCUUUUCAUGGAUUUUUCUUUCCUUUCCGCCAUCUUGUCUUCUGAAUUCAGCAGUACCAGGGCUUGAUUUUUUUCUCUGGGAAUUAGGCAUUCCAGUUUGGACAAGUGCAGCAGACGGUGCAGCAAACGCAAAUUUAUUGCGCUGGAACGCAGCACACGUGAGCGUUGAAAUUAUUGCUUUAUUUUUACUUUUUUAAUAAUAAUUUGAAUUAGGAAGACCCCACAAUCUCCAGAAUGAUAAAAAAUGAAAGACCAAUACUACGAAUCACCUUCAUUUAUUGGAUUAUCAAUAAACAAUUCAUUAUCAUAAAUUACAAGACACUGGUAAUCAACGAGAAUUACCACUCAUGUACAUGUUUACGUGGCCCUGUCGCCCCUCAGCCUAAUUAAUCCGUUGUAAUAAUGUCAACCAUUGGUUAAUUACACUGAGACACUCAUAUAUUCGUAACCAUUUUAUCAAUGACCAACGGAAUCGAUAAAUCUUCAUGCAAAUUAAAAAAGUGAAUACAGACGUAAAUGACAGCUUUAUUAUAAAAUAACUUGACUCUUGACAAAUUCUCCUGUCCAAAUUAUAAAUUAAAAUUACGUUGAUGAAUAGUGUGAAGGAUUAUUUAUUUGUUAUAAACUUAUCGGUAGCAUUGAAUCGUUGAAUUGGCGGUGACAUCGUGGCAGUAUUAAUUCACGACGCAAACCUGCGUCUCAGACAAUUAUCAAUCUCUCAAACACCCAAAUCCCCAGAUAUUCCCAGAAUAAACUUCUGAUUUAAAAUAAAAACAAUGACCCUGCCUAUAAAAAUCUCAACACUACGAUGUCAUCUAUUUAUCGAAGAGAGAAUCUUUAAUUAAUAUGAAAACCGAAUGGAUACUAUUGAAACAAACAAAUAAAUCUACACUUUAUUGGUAAUGAAAAGAUGAACAUUCCCCUAAUUUCAGUCCUGUUAUUCAUGAGUAUAAUCUCCAGUGAUCGCUGGAGUUCAGUGCAAUAAUAAGUUUGCAAUUAUUAAUUUUAUAAUUAGCAAUUGAGCCCCAUCCUAUGCAUUAUAUAUCUUCAGCUAAAAAAAUUUGUCAUUCAAGAAAAUAAUCUUGGGUAAUUCACAGUAAAUUCGUGGACUAAAUUCAUCAUCAGCUUCAUCAAAAUUUUGCAUUCCCCUUCUAUGUAAUUAAAUAAAAUGUAUUCAGAACUAUUAGUGUAUACGUGUGUCAAACUUUUCGCUUCUUCAGCU